UGUUCUCUGGCUUAGUCGGUUAAAGCGCCGGUCUUGCGGAUUCGAAGUCGUGGGUUCGAAUCCAACCUGAACGC
rnacentral:tRNA from 1 species